GAGCAUUCUUAAGAAACCCCCCAGUUGCUCUCUGUGAUUUCUGGGACAAGAAAGGAUGCAAGAGAAAUCUUAGAAUCAUCCAAAGCUGAGAGCUGAGUGUCAGUAGCUCUCGGCUAUUUCACCUCUAAGACAGAAACACU